rnacentral:lncRNA from 1 species
UCCACAUUUGUCGCGGUUCCUCCAGCUGUCGGCCAACCACUCUCCGAGACCACAAUCUCCACCGAUCCUCCUCCUGUUUUCUCCAAUGCCGCAUAAACAGUGUCUACGAGUGCGUGGAAGAGGUUUCGGUAUGCGUUUGACCCAUCAUUGACUACAGUGGACGGUGAAGUGAACAGAGCAUAGUCCAAACGGAUGUCUCUCAUGUUGUUGAUGUAGCUGAAGUAAGGGUAGACAUUCACGAGUAGUGGAGAUUGCUUGCUCACCAAGAAAGCUAUCACGGGAGCGAUAAAGUUUCUAAAUUCAGGUGUGAAUGUCCCACUCGAAGGAGGAAACCCACUAAUGCCUCUGGUGUCUAUAGCCGUGGAGACCUUGAUCCCGAGGCCUGAAACCGCUCUAUCGAUGUUCUGCAUGGCGGGGAGGACGAACCUCGAGGUUGGGUCCGAGGGUUGCACCUCGUUCCCGACCGAGAUGUAACGGAACCUUACACCGUUGAAGUUGCGGACGUUGUUGCGGACCCACGUGUCAGCUUCCGCUUGGCUGGAGGCGAUACGCUGGAGAUCAGGGUUGGGAACAUCGAGCAGAAGGUCGAUGUUAGAGCCUCGCAGAGCGGAGAGAACCUCUUGGUUGGGAUCGUAAAGCCGCAUGCGACGGAUGUUACGGUUGCGGUAAAGAGCCACCGCAUCAGCCGGACGUGGCAGGUUGUUUCCUAUUCUCCCGUAGCACACUCCGAUUUGCGCAGCUACAUAUAUGUAUAUCAAAUUAAUAAUCAUUAUUAAUAGAAAUAAGAUUUACAAUGAUAUUAUCGAUAUCGAUAGGUUAAAGAAGGUAGCUAAACCUGCCGUGUGGAAGAAGGAAGCCAUUAAGAAGCUAAGAAGAAGCAAUAACAAUGGUAGUGAGGCUAAGAACCUCGAUUGAUCACUAGACAUCUUCAUGAAAUAACAAUUGAAGAUGAUCUUAUAAUUUCGAGUUUUGUAUGCUUAGAUGCUUAAAACCGUAGCAUUUUGCGCCUAAUUUAUAGAGGGAAUCGGUGAUCUUAGUCAAUGAAAUGAAACAAAAAGUCAUCGCGUCAUAUCAUCACUAGCUGUGGAAUGUUGUAAAUUAAAUCACCGUUCAUGCAUAUCUCACUAAAUUCAUGCUUUGAAAAGUCUUGUAAGUGUGAGUUUUCUCCACAUGUAAGAGCAGCCCAUCGAUGCGAUCCUAUAAUUAAUGAUUUUUAUAUAUAUAAAGAAAAUUCAAUCAUAUAUGUGAUGGCAUAUGGAGGGAGAUGUUUUCAUAGGUUUCAUGUAAGCUUUAGAGAUAUGAGAACAUAUUUUCAUCGUUCUCCAAUGUUUUAAAAAAACAAUCUAGAUACCCACUAAAUUAAUCUCCUAAUAACAGCUUGGACCUUAAAGAAAAUAGUUUUUGGAUCCUUUACGUUUUUUUUUUGCUUUAGGCUGCAUAAAAAAAAUUAAACCUUUAUGUGUAAUUUUCUGUUGGUAGAUUUUGUUAUGGAACCAAAAGAAAUAAUAUACAUAUAAAAUAAUUUAUGAUUCUUUCUCAAUCUUGUUUUUGUUUUUCUUUGUAAUCCUCUUAUUUUUGUAUAGUUUCGAAAUGCUUAUAUGUUUUUUUUUUUGUUAAAAUGAUAUAGGUGGCUUUAUUUAAUUAUUAGGAUAUGUGAUUGAGCGGGGUGUCGCACUCCAUAAACCUAGCCGGCCCUUGAUGUAGCUCUCAAUAAGGCCUAACCAGCUAGACACUAAAAUCUUACUGUUAAAUGGAACGAAUCGUCCACCGCCUCAAAUUCAAAAAUACCGAGUCUCAAAGACUCAAAGUUUGUGUGGAAACUGCAACUUAUGUUUUUGAAAAUAGGCCAGAUUAAAAUAGUUCAUCCAGAUAACAUAUUUUUAUUUUUUUUUAAAUUUCUCAAAAAAAUAUAAACAAAAUAAUAUAUUAAAUAUAAAUUUGAUUAACAUAUGUCAGGAUACCUAAACUUAACAUAUAAUUAUUUUAGUUCAAAUAUUUGGAUAGAUAAUCAAUAAUUAUUUUAAGUAUUUUUAGUGUUUUAAGUAUACUUUUACUAUUUUAUAUAUUUACUAUUGGUUAUUUGUAUAUAUUUUCAAGUAUUUAAACCAGCUUAAAAGUAUCAUAUAUAUUCUAUAUGUUUUUAUAUAUAUUAAAUCUAAAAAUAAUUAAUAUAUAUAAGUAUAUAAAUCUAUUUCAGAUACAUUCGGAUAUUCGGAAUACUUCCAUUCGGAUCGGAUUUGGUUUCAGCUCUCCAAAAACUAAAAUUUGAAUAAUUCGGACAUUUAACCAAAAACUUAAAACGAUGAAAAUGCAAAACAGCAUAUAAAGAAGAACUCAAUCACGAUUCACGAUCAACGGUGAAAUUCCUCUAAAACCGAUCUGAUGAUGAUGCAUCAAAAAGCUGUCAGACUUAAAUAAAAAAUAUAUAUAUAUAUAUAUAUAUCUUAUAUGUGUGUGUGUGAAACCUUAUCAUGUACACAUUAUUCAACAACCUAGUUACGAUAAAGAUGAUGAAGAUAAGUUUGAUGAAAUUCCAAUGCCAAAUAUGUCGAUGAUGAUGAGAAUCAUGAAAUGGACAUUUUGCCUCAAAUCGUGAUCAUGUGGGAACAAGAUUAUUGUGAGCGAAUGUGUGUAUUCUGCAGUAAAACCAUGAUCACGGAUUACUUUAAGAAGAUAUCUUUUUACUGAGAAACAUACAUUGAAAAAUAAGAUGACUAAAUUUUAAGAGGCAUUUGAGCUAUAGCAGGAGAACAAUAUAACCAUUAAGCAUGACUUGAAUUGAAUGAAACACAUAAUAAAUUCCUAUAUGUUAAACAAUAGAUGUGCGGCAUUAUACAACUAUAUGGAAAUGAGAAUACAACUAUCUAGAAAAUAUAAGUGGUCUAAAAAUUGUUUUAGGCGUUAGACUCUCUAGAACCAUAGAGUUUUUUUUAUAAAACGCCUAGGUAAUUAUAAUAGGGUAAUAAUAAAUAAUAAAUAACUUAGUGUUUAUAAAUUGUAGUAAUUACUUUAUUUUAAUAUAAAAUUUUAUAAAAACAAGUAAUAUGAACAUUAGUAUUCGUAAAUCAUGAUACUUAAUCUAUUAUUAGUUAGUCAGUCUAUACGUUUACGGUUUACCAAUUAUAUAUAUAGUAUAUUGUUAUAAUUGGUAAACCGUAAUCAUUUAGGCCAACUAACUAAUAAUUUACUCGUCGGAUAGGUGUUAGGCGUUGAAUCACUAUUCGCUUAACGUCUAAUGAUUUCUUGAACACUAGACUAAAUUGUAGAAUAAACAAAUUUUUAUUUGAAUUGAUUAUAAAAUUGAUAUAACAGAAUAAUAUAUAUAUAUAUAUAUUUAUUUAAUCAUCAAAUACUGAAAAAUAUGAGUGAUUAAUAGUGUCUUCAAUCUUUUUUAUCCAACAUAUCUGAACAUGAAUGAAUUCACACAGUCUUUUGCCUUCUUCACAUCUAUCUAUUUUCUUCUCAUUACACACAACCACAAAGAUAUAAAUAGAUGUUAGGAAAAAAUGUAUAUGCUGAAUGAAUAUAAAUAUAAAUUUAUAUAAAAUUUACAAUUAUUGCCAAAACUUACUCGGAUCUUAAGCUGAAAUACAACGAAUAUUAACACAUUCAAUUCGCAUUGUUUCCCACAUUACUUAGAAUGUUUACCAAAACAUCCGAAUGAAUCUGGUUCGAAUGGACCACUGAUACGUAUGUUAACAAAAAUAUUGAAACGAGUUCAUGCAUGUACCCGAGACGCAGAAUAUAAGGAUGGACAGUCUGGCACACAAUGUCCGGAAACAAUUGUCCGGAAACAAUUGUAUACCUCAUAUUUAAUCAUAUGCAAAACUAACUUAAAAAAGUGAAAACUUAUUAUUUACCCUUUAUGACAAAACAAAAAAAAUCAGGAAUUAUUUUACGAUUCUGACUUUCGCAAGAAUAUCUGGUCCAUCUGCAAAUUCUAUUGUAUAAUCCAAAAAGUAUAUACAGUAGAACCUCCAUAAAUUAUUAAAGUUGGUACUUUGAAAUUUUAUUAAUUUAUAGAGAUAUUAAUUUAAAAAAAUUCAUUAUUAGAUUUCUUAUUUUAAGAUAUAUUUAUUUAAGAUAAGAAAAAUAUUUGAUUUUUGUGCAUAGACAUUAAUUGUUAUUUUUUUUUAAAUCUGACAUUUAUAUUAAUUUUAUUAUAUUAUUUGGUGUAUAUAAUAUAUAUUGUAUUGAACUUAAAUGUGGUUUUAGAUAUAAUAUUACUAAAUAUCAUCAAAAAUAUAUGAAGUGUUAAGAAAAAGUAAAUAUAAUUUCAUUGUUAAUAUAAAACAAACAAUAUAGUAAUAGGUUCUUACUUAUAUAAAAUAUGUAUACAUAUGAACUAUCAAUACAUAUAAACUAUUAAUUUAUAUAUUUACAUAGAAUUUUCUAAGAAAAUAUUAUCUUAUUAUUUUAUUGGUUUCUGUCAAAUUAUAAGUUUAUUAAUUUUCUUGUCUCAUUAUUUCUUAUUAUUGUUACAUGUUUCCCACUUUUUGGAAUCUUUAUUAAUACAAGCCCUCGAAUUCCAUUCAGCUCAUAUCACUAUAAUAAAGUGUCUUCAAGGAUAUUAAUUAGUUGAAAUUGACACCAUACUUGGGCUGUUGAUUGGGAAGAAACAUUCCAAAGAACUUUUCAAACUCAGGACUCUUCUGAUUCUCAUCGAACAUACCGAAUAUAUAAGUCUCGAUAGGUCUCCCUUGUCUUCUAGGAGAUCCACUCUUCACAGUUUGUAUCAAAUUGUUCACAUAAGUCCUUGCAUUAUCCACAUUUGUCGCGGUUCCUCCAGCUGUCGGCCAACCACUCUCCGAGACCACAAUCUCCACCGAUCCUCCUCCUGUUUUCUCCAAUGCCGCAUAAACAGUGUCUACGAGUGCGUGGAAGAGGUUUCGGUAUGCGUUUGACCCAUCAUUGACUACAGUGGACGGUGAAGUGAACAGAGCAUAGUCCAAACGGAUGUCUCUCAUGUUGUUGAUGUAGCUGAAGUAAGGGUAGACAUUCACGAGUAGUGGAGAUUGCUUGCUCACCAAGAAAGCUAUCACGGGAGCGAUAAAGUUUCUAAAUUCAGGUGUGAAUGUCCCACUCGAAGGAGGAAACCCACUAAUGCCUCUGGUGUCUAUAGCCGUGGAGACCUUGAUCCCGAGGCCUGAAACCGCUCUAUCGAUGUUCUGCAUGGCGGGGAGGACGAACCUCGAGGUUGGGUCCGAGGGUUGCAC